UUUUCUCCCAUGAAUUUCUUGCAGAAUGUAGCAAAUAAAUAAAUGAUUCACAUUUAAGAGUGACAAGGACAACUGUAAGUUAAGAUUUCAGAAGAUGCCAUGAAAAUAGAGAAGAUAUUUACAAAAAGGUAUUCCAAGGCCACUGGGGCAACAUCAAUUUGCACGACAGGAAGAAUAGAACAAGGCAGAACAUCAGCUGCCAAUACCAGAGGGCAUUCCAUCAUAAUUCAUUGUAAGUAGAAGAAUGAUUGAAGAAAAAGAAGUAGAAGAGAAGGAUGGAAGACAGGAGAGUGGAGGUUAAGAUGUGUGAAGUAUGAAAGUAGUAGAUAAUAUUGU